UGCCACUUAAAAAGGAAGUGCUCUGUUCCUCUUCUCUCUCUCUCUCUCUCCAACCUCAUUUCUCUGAUCCGUAGGAUCUUUCGUGUCCAACCUUAAAAACCCUAACAGAUUUUCUUCCAAACGGAGAUCAUUGAUCCACUAGUAAAGAAACAAUCAUCUCUGUAUCUUCUUCUAACGAGAAGAAAUCGAUCAAUAGCCUUUUUUACUCCAGCUUUAGAGACGAGCUGAUCCUGUGAUCUCCAAAGACGUUCAACAAGGGUGAAAGAUUUUGAUUUUUGAUCAGAUUAAAGCGACUAGGAUUUAUCUUGAAAAUGGAAACGCUAAUCUUAGCUGCAGAACAUAGGAAUCAGUAUCAUCAUCAUGGGAAGAAAACUGUUGGACGACAUAGUGAUGGUUUUAGAUCCAAAACUUUCAGGCAAAUCAAUUGCAGAACUUUCCAUUAUGGAGUGGGUUUGCUUCCAAGGCCAAAGAGAACCUCUUCAACGUCUUUAACCAAAGGAUCUCUUCCUCAGGCUCCUUGCGGUAGAACCAUUCCCAUUCCCAUUCAAGGCUCUCAGAUCCGUUGUGAGUUUGUUGACAAAAGGAGAAGCCUUUCUUACUCUGAGCUUUGGGCAGGUCCUACUUACUCCAACUCUCCUCCACCUACUUCUGUCCCCAUUCCUAAGUUCUCUCUCACGCAAAAGAGGACGGUUUCUUUGAGCUUCCCACCUCCCCACCCUACUGUUGAAGCUGCCAAGUCUGCGCCUGUUUCUCCAACCUCAUCUGCUGAUAACCCUUUUCACACUACUGUCUCUGCCACUGUGACACUGCGUCGCAUGCUCAACCUUGACCAUGAAUGAAUAUCAGGAGUCUUUAGGGGGGACAGGGGUUAGUUUUAGUUUUCUGCAAUACAUAAAUAAGUAGCUGGUUUGAUUUUGUUUAGUAGCGUCUGAUGGUGGUGGUAAAGGAACAACGUGGAAGCAGUCAGUCUUCACAGCAGAGUUGGUCAGUAGUUACUGGAUCUCCUAUCCUAGGUGGAGCAGAUUGCUAUAGUGAGUAGAAACAUUCAGGAAGCGGAUUCUUGGUUUAGCAUUUAGGAUGGCUAGCUAGAAAUUCACCAGUCUCUAUCUAACAUAUACCCUGGGUUGGUGAAUGCUAAGUUCAUGGUGCAUUUCCUCUUUUCCCUUUGUAUAUGUUUCUCUUUUAGAGUCUUGGCUUCUUUUCUUAAGUGGGUUAGUUAGCAACUAGGUUCCUGUGUCUAUUCUUCCAAGUUGCAACAUCUUUUGGUGGUCUUAAUCUUACCCUUCCUGUUUUGUCUCCCUCCUUGUUCAUCUCUUUUCUUUUCAUCCCUUUGAGUCUUCUUCUAUUUCGUUUAUGUCCAGCCUUAAAAGAUGUAAAUCCUUGCUACUUGUGUUUAGUGGUCUUCCUCUUCAACCCUUUCCUUAUUUUUUUUGUAAAAGGAAGAAGGGAAUGGGAAGCUCUUUCUUCUGACCAACCCUCUUGAACGGUCUCUAGUCUACUGGUAAAUAUUCAUCCAAAUCUUUCUGGCGAUACUUCUUCUCAAGACAAAGACAUUCCUCAGGCUCUUCUUGAUACCGGUCUUACCUACUUUAAAAGUUUCCUUGGAGUUUCGUGAUCCUGCCUAAUCUGCUCACCAGGGGCUUAUAGAAGCUGCUGCUCCGCUCUGCUCUGUUGUUGAUGCUUUUGAUCAUAGUUCCUUUGUCUCUACUAUCUUUUGGUUUUCUUGUAUUGUUUACGCAGUGACAAGUAUUGUCUCAGUGUUUGGACCUCUGCUUUCCAAAAACACAUAUGUUUCUCCUUGUCUUUGUGUAAAGUUUGUGGCAGUGUUGUAGGCAUUUUGGUAUCUGGUACUGAGUUUUAAUGGUGAAGGAGCUGUAUCCCUUGUUCCCUAUAAGUAUUAUUAUCAAAGAUUGUCGAUA